CUCUCCUCUUCCUCUCCCUUUCCUCUCGCCUCACCUCUCUCUCUCUCCCUCCAAACCCUAACCCGCGCCCGCCUCCCUUCCCCGCCGCUGGCCGCCGCCACCGACACUCGCCCGGGCACCCAUCCUCGACCUCACGCCACCCAUCUAGAGAGAAGAAGAUGGGGGUUGCGAGCGACGAGGUCGACGUGCCGUCGUCCCGUCUUUUCUGAGGUCGACGAGAGCCAAUCCCACGCCGCCGCCAUCUCCUUCACCUAGCUGGCCGCCGCCUUGGCCUCCUCCUUCUCUUCCGUAGCGACCUCUCCUCCUCCGCGGUGCUCGGCGGAGGCAGCACGAGCAGACGCCGCACUACGCGAGAGCGUCCUCCUAGGCCGCAUCUGAGAGGAACCAGGACCUCGUGGUGAGGUGAGCCACGGCGGCGGUGCCCACGCGCCUAUGCCAUCCCCCGCGGCUGCCCCGUCCUCGACCAUCGCCCACCCCUCCGGGAGGGAGAGGCGUGGUGGCGUUAAGGAGAGCUCUGCCGCCGUGGUGUCGCUCCUUCCUCCGGUGCCACCGCUGCCCUCCGGACCGGCAUCCUCGUGUUCGUGCUCUCUCUCUCUCUCUCUAAUCCUCAUCAUAAUUUUCUUACUGCUGAUCCGGUUUUAUGUAUGCCCACAAGGUGUUUGACAAAAAUCCAAGUAGUCUGCACAGAAGAUUAGCCAUCACAUGUAAUACAUUACAUAGAUUAAAUACAUGUAUUUAGAAAUAUGUGCAGGUCUGGAUUUGGCCCAAGGUUGUGCCCUUGCUCUCUGGAAAUGAAGUUUUGUUCUCAUCCAAGUGCUAUAGGAGACGAGCCGGUGGCAAGCAACCGCGGGUGGCCUCCUCCGUCGUUCCCUGUUCGAUCUGGCGCUUGCAAGAGGAAGCUGCCAAGCCAGGCACAAGCAGAGAGCACCGUAUCACCGCUCCAUAUGAAGCUGGUAAUGGAAAAUCUCAGUGGUGCACCAUUUGAGGCAUUAUUGACCAACACACAUGUCUAACAUUUGUAGACUGCUAGCGAGCUACAUUCCGUAGCAAGAAUUGAUAUGGUGUGCUGAUAAGUUCACAAUCAAGAAGGAUCAUCCCUAUUCUAAGGUCAAUAUAUGCUUCCUUGGAAAUGAUCAAUCAUCUUCUUAGGUCAAGGAAGACUCGAAGGACUACAUGUGGCCACCUUUGUAUGGCCAAUUGUUUUGUAGACUUUCAGUAUCCUUCAUCCGCCGUUGGGUUCGUUCCGCCUCAGCCAGGAUCUUCUCGGCCCUGCUCUGAUGUUGUGAAAACUCAUGCAUUCCGACAGCCGCCUCCAUGCUCCAACUGCUGCAGCCUGCAGGUACCCAGAGCUAUGGCCUCUUGUGUGCACCGAUCAUGAGAAGAAAUUUAUUUGACAACAGAAUAACUAGGAGAACAAAUAAUCCUGAUUUUACUGGCUGAAUACCACUGUGCCAGAAUGCUGAGUCGGUUAUUCAUAUAAAGAGAGAAAUGAAUGAGUGUUGCUGCAUUUGUUUGGUCAUGCUUGCACCAGAGAAGAACUGCAUUUGUUUGGUCAUCGUGGCAUGACGGCAAUAUCAAACUCUUUGUUUGGGCAUCACACAUGUAUGUGCCUCCAUCUUCACAACACAUGCAUAUUGCCAUUGAGAGAUGAUCUUGAUUUAUUGUUAGUUUAUCACAUGGUUCAAGCUGUACUCUUGAUUUUGUUCAUAAAAGUUGGUUUAUUGUUAGUUCAUCAAAUGGUUUAUUCUUUCCCCUGAACCAAAAAAUCGGUUGUUGACGUUUUACAUGUGGUAAACU